GUCUCCGUCGUUUAGCUGAGGGCUGGAUUUGCUGCUGGUCUAAAAUCCCAAGUUGACCAACUCGUUGCCGUGGAAAUGGAAAUCGAAUUGUCUGUUCAGAUUUUUUAAGCUGAGUAACAGGCAAUUGCUGUAGAGUUUCUCGCUCGGUAUCCCAGUGCUGAUCUGGCCACUUCUGUGUCAUGUUGGUUUCAGACCGAAUUUGCUGCUGCUCAGUUGUUCGCUCGAUGAUCACUUGCUGCCUUCGUUGUUGACGUCGUGGCAGGGGCGAUCGAAUUGGAUUUGUAGCUAACUAAUUAGCUGUCCGCGUUGUUGUUGAUGUAGCU